CUUGAAACAGGAUCUGAGAAAUCCAAGGUCCUGUGUAUAUGGAAACAUAGAGGCACAGAAAGGCACCUUUGAAGGCCACGGAGAGCUGGAAGGAUCCUGGGAGGAUCUGCAGCCAAGCACAGACCACACACAUCGAUUUGCUGCUUCCAGACUGGCGAGUGUCCUGUGCAACCAGAAAUUGUGAUUUCUCUCAAGAAUUAAUUGAUAGCAGCAAGUCCUUGCUCUACUUGAAUUACUCCUUAAACCACUCUUCAUUUGGAUAGAGCACUCACAGCCUAAUUUCUAGACACCUUCCCAAGCAGGCAGGCUCAGAAACAGAGGCUGGACUGUGAGAAGACAAAGCAAAUUAAGAAGGAAAUGUGUGUUUUGUAUAAUUAGAAUUACAGCUAUCCCCUUUACUACCUACAAAUGCUCUCAGGGGUGAGUGCAUGGCUUUAGGACAGCAGCAGUAAACAGAGCACUCUCUCUGCUGGGAACACCUCCUAUCUCCAUUCAACCCACUUCUUACUUAAAUAACCACACAAGUAUAUCGUGCCUGGAGGGAAACUCAGUGCAUGUUGGGAUUUGCAUGUAUUUCAUGGGAAAAAAAGGAGUGAAAAAGGGAGGAGAGUGAGUGAGAAAUAGGUGCAUUUGCCUUCAGGACAGAGUUUCCAUUUUUUCUCUUUGGUUAUGCAAUUUAAGAUAUUUUUUAUUAUUAUUUAUUUUUUAAAUGGUGCUUUGUCACUGAUUCCAGUCUCUUCAGCAAAAAUCUGUUUGCGUCAGCAUGGACUUCACAGGAGGGCAACAAAGCAGCUAUUCUUCACUUCUAAAGACACAUCCAGCCCCAGAAAGAGCCCACUCCUGCCCAAACACCCCCAGCCUAUGCACCCGUCUUUGCAGCUCAGCAAUCCUGAAUUUUGCCCCCCAACAAGGGCACAAGUGCCAUCUCUGUGUUGGUCACACAAAGAAUGGAAACCUGCAAGUAAAACAGAAAAACACAGGAAAGACACAGCACUCGAGUGCUGUCACCCUCAAGCGACAGCAAAGAUAUCAGGACUGAAAAACUUGGCUUCAAAUGAAAUAAACUUCCAAACCCAACAGUUUUUCUUGCUUUUCAUAUCAGCUGCUCUGCAGACGUUGCACCCAACAAUCAGCUUUGCAAAAGUGUCAGCAGCUAACCAGGCACUACCUGGCCAACACAGCUCCUGGAUAAAGCAGGAAUGCAAGGGCAUUACACCCCAAAUGUUGAUGGAAUUCUCACUCUGGGGGUGACACUGAAAUCUCCAGGACACUUUCUGCUCAGAUAUUGGGAAUUUAGCAGCAGUGAGCUCGGACUCGUUGGAUGAGGGAUCCAAUGUUUCAGCCAUCACCAGCUGCACAGGAGAGCUGGGAAGAGAGUUUUUAUAAGGGUAUGUGGUGACAGGACAAGGGGGGAUGGCUCUAAACUGAAAGAAAGUAGGGUUAGGUUUGGUAUU